rnacentral:rRNA from 1 species
AAAUUGAAGAGUUUGAUCAUGGCUCAGAUUGAACGCUGGCGGCAGGCCUAACACAUGCAAGUCGAACGGUAACAGGAAGCAGCUUGCUGCUUCGCUGACGAGUGGCGGACGGGUGAGUAAUGUCUGGGAAACUGCCUGAUGGAGGGGGAUAACUACUGGAAACGGUGGCUAAUACCGCAUAACGUCGCAAGACCAAAGAGGGGGACCUUCGGGCCUCUUGCCAUCAGAUGUGCCCAGAUGGGAUUAGCUAGUUGGUGAGGUAACGGCUCACCAAGGCGACGAUCCCUAGCUGGUCUGAGAGGAUGACCAGCCACACUGGAACUGAGACACGGUCCAGACUCCUACGGGAGGCAGCAGUGGGGAAUAUUGCACAAUGGGCGCAAGCCUGAUGCAGCCAUGCCGCGUGUAUGAAGAAGGCCUUCGGGUUGUAAAGUACUUUCAGCGGGGAGGAAGGUGUUGUGGUUAAUAACCACAGCAAUUGACGUUACCCGCAGAAGAAGCACCGGCUAACUCCGUGCCAGCAGCCGCGGUAAUACGGAGGGUGCAAGCGUUAAUCGGAAUUACUGGGCGUAAAGCGCACGCAGGCGGUCUGUCAAGUCGGAUGUGAAAUCCCCGGGCUCAACCUGGGAACUGCAUUCGAAACUGGCAGGCUUGAGUCUUGUAGAGGGGGGUAGAAUUCCAGGUGUAGCGGUGAAAUGCGUAGAGAUCUGGAGGAAUACCGGUGGCGAAGGCGGCCCCCUGGACAAAGACUGACGCUCAGGUGCGAAAGCGUGGGGAGCAAACAGGAUUAGAUACCCUGGUAGUCCACGCCGUAAACGAUGUCUACUUGGAGGUUGUGCCCUUGAGGCGUGGCUUCCGGAGCUAACGCGUUAAGUAGACCGCCUGGGGAGUACGGCCGCAAGGUUAAAACUCAAAUGAAUUGACGGGGGCCCGCACAAGCGGUGGAGCAUGUGGUUUAAUUCGAUGCAACGCGAAGAACCUUACCUGGUCUUGACAUCCACGGAAGUUUUCAGAGAUGAGAAUGUGCCUUCGGGAACCGUG